UGUAAACUAAUUUUCUUAAAUCAAAAUCAUUUAGCACUCGGUUUUAAGCGUCGCUUCCUAAUUUAAAAUUGACAUUACAUUAAUAAAUCACAACAUUGAAAUGUAUGUGUUAGGAAGGUCGUGCAACGCACCUGCGAAGUCUAUUAACGCACGAUUCCUUCGAAUAAAAUAAGCGAAUUACGAUCAUGUGUUUUUUUAUCCGACAAUAAUAUUUCCUUCUACAUUGUAUUUAAAUUAAAAUAGGCA